rnacentral:misc_RNA from 1 species
UGUAACCGUGUUUGUUCUAAAGUUCCAGUCUAAAGUUUAUGCUUACGGAUCAGAAUAUUUUCGAUUGGUUGAAUACGUUCUUCCCUCCUUUCUCUUUCUUUUUUUCUUUUUUUUUUUUUUGCGAACACUUUUGUAACCAAAUUUUGUCCUAAAAAUGAGGUUUCUUCCGCAAGAAUUUUCAUAAAGAUGCAUAUUUCUGAAAAUCCUAUGUACGUGCUUCCGUAGCUUUUAUCACGUAGAGAAUGGAAAUUUUUGGUUCUUUUCUAAGUCACGCCAGUUCUGAAAAAUUGAUGGAGGCAAAUACUACUUGUUCAUUGAUUUUCAGUGGUCGUUCAGUUUUAGUUAAGCUAAGUAGUGCAAUUUAAUUGGAUGAUUAUGAUGCUCCUAUUGUGGGAGAUUAAUAGACAAAUACCAUUUGUUCGUUGAUUUGCAGUGGUCGUUCACUUUUACUUAAGUUAAGUAGCGUAAUUUCGUCGGACGAUUAUGAUACUCCUAUGCUAGUAAAUUACUAGGAAAAAACUAUUUGUUCAUUGAUUUUUGAUG